UAGGGAAUCUUGGUCAAUGGGCGCAAGCCUGAACCAGCCAUGCCGCGUGUGCGAAGAAGGCCCUAGGGUUGUAAAGCACUUUCAGUCGCGAAGAAAAGCUUAGAGUUAAUACCUCUGAGUCUUGACGUUAACGACAGAAGAAGUACCGGCUAACUCCGUGCCAGCAGCCGCGGUAAUACGGAGGGUACGAACGUUAAUCGGAAUUACUGGGCGUAAAGCGCGCGUAGGCGGUUUGAUAAGUGGGAUGUGAAAGCCCCGGGCUUAACCUGGGAACUGCAUUCCAAACUGUCAGACUAGAGUAUGGUAGAGGCUGGUAGAAUUUCCUGUGUAGCGGUGAAAUGCGUAGAUAUAGGAAGGAAUACCGAUGGCGAAGGCAGCCAGCUGGACCAAUACUGACGCUGAGGUGCGAAAGCGUGGGGAGCAAACAGGAUUAGAUACCCGUGUAGUCC
rnacentral:rRNA from 1 species